UGUUUCGGCUAGGGGGUCAUCCCGACUUACCAACCCGAUGCAAACUACGAAUACCGAAGAAUGUUAUCACGGGAGACACACGGCGGGUGCUAACGUCCGUCGUGAAGAGGGAAACAACCCAGACCGCCAGCUAAGGUCCCAAAGUCAUGGUUAAGUGGGAAACGAUGUGGGAAGGCACAGACAGCCAGGAUGUUGGCUUAGAAGCAGCCAUCAUUUAAAGAAAGCGUAAUAGCUCACUGGUCGAGUCGGCCUGCGCGGAAGAUGUAACGGGGCUAAACCAUGCACCGAAGCUGCGGCAGCGACACUAUGUGUUGUUGGGUAGGGGAGCGUUCUGUAAGCCUGCGAAGGUGACCUGUGAGGGUUGCUGGAGGUAUCAGAAGUGCGAAUGCUGACAUAAGUAACGAUAAAGCGGGUGAAAAGCCCGCUCGCCGGAAGACCAAGGGUUCCUGUCCAACGUUAAUCGGGGCAGGGUGAGUCGACCCCUAAGGCGAGGCCGAAAGGCGUAGUCGAUGGGAAACAGGUUAAUAUUCCUGUACUUGGUGUUACUGCGAAGGGGGGACGGAGAAGGCUAUGUUAGCCGGGCGACGGUUGUCCCGGUUUAAGCAUGUAGGCUG
rnacentral:rRNA from 1 species